UCCGUAGGGUGCAAGCGUUGUCCGGAAUUAUUGGGCGUAAAGGGCUCGUAGGCGGUCUGUCGCGUCGGCUGUGAAAUCCCGAGGCUCAACCUCGGGUCUGCAGUCGAUACGGGCAAACUAGAGUAUUGCAGGGGAGACUGGAAUUCCUGGUGUAGCGGUGAAAUGCGCAGAUAUCAGGAGGAACACCGGUGGCGAAGGCGGGUCUCUGGGCAAUAACUGACGCUGAGGAGCGAAAGCGUGGGGAGCGAACAGG
rnacentral:rRNA from 1 species